rfam:Aspergillus terreus NIH2624 scaffold_5 genomic scaffold, whole genome shotgun sequence.
GGGGAUGUGGUCUAGUGGUAUGACAUUUCAUUUGCAUUGAAAGGGUCCCGCGUUCGAUCCGCGGCAUCUCCA